UGACACCAAGGAAACACCACCGCGAGGACACAGCUCACCUUCUACAGUGGAGUCAACAGUUUGAAGGAAAGACUUUUCCCUGAAGAAGCGUGUGGUCCCUCUGAUUAAGUGGUUCUCAACAGUUCAACAGUUCUUUGAGAAAAUUGUGAAAUGUUUAGGACCACUUGACCAGUCAGACAAAUGCUGCCAGCCUGGGAAAAAAAUGCUGCUUUUGAAUGGAUCUUUUAAAAACAAAAGGAAACCGUCUCUCAAGGCCUGACUUUAAAAUGAUUUUAGAACAACUGUGAUUUCCUCUGUUUCCUUAAUGUGUCUCUCUGUCUUCUACUCUCAUUGUGCCCCCUUGUGUUACAAUGCCAACUGCAGUCCAGGAGCUGUGGGGGGCUGUAAAAAUCAUCAGGCUUCGGUAAUUUCAUUCUGCUGGCACACAUACAACAUUUUUAACAGCUCUGCUGUUGCAGUAACACCCGUCUUUUCUGCUGCUUUACUGUUGCCGCUAUUCAAAGGUACUGAUUAAAACAAGUCAAUAAAGAAUCAUUUGUCUCUGUUGAGUCCGUGUGGGAUGAUGAUGAUGGGACGAGAGUUUGCAGGGACGGUCGCUGUCCAAAGUACUGAAACUUGCUACAAAAUCACUGCAUCUGCUGACAUUUUACAUCUAAUUUUCCAAACUAGAGAAAAAUUGUCUAUGUUUUGGUCAAUGUACACAGAUAUUAAUACGUGGGCAGUGGUGGAAGAAGAAUUCAGAUCAUUUACUUAAGUAAAAUGACUAAUACCACAAUGUGAGAAUACUUCCAUAUAAGUUUUGCAUUAAGUAAAAAAAAUGUAUGUAUUAUUGACUUAAAAUAUCAAAAGUAAAAGUACGCAUGCAGAAAAUGA